AUUGAACGCUGGCGGCAGGCCUAACACAUGCAAGUCGAACGAGGGGGGGACGGGUGAGUAAUGUGGGGGAAACCGCGAGGUGGGGGGGGAUAAACACGGAAAACUGGAGCUAAUACCGCAUACUCACAGAUGCGCACAGAUGGGAGUAGCGAGUGGGUGGGGUAAGGUCUCACCUAGGCGACGCUCCCUAGCUGGUCUGAGAGGAUGACCAGCCACACUGGACCUGAGACACGGUCCAGACUCCUACGGGAGGCAGCAGUGGGGAAUAUUGCACAAUGGGCGCAAGCCUGAUGCAGCCAUGCCGCGUGUGUGAAGAAGGCCUUCGGGUUGUAAAGCACUUUCAGCGGGGAGGCGUUACCCGCAGAAGAAGCACCGGCUAACUCCGUGCCAGCAGCCGCGGUAAUAC
rnacentral:rRNA from 1 species